rnacentral:tRNA from 1 species
GCGCCCGUAGCUCAGCGGAUAGAGCGCCAGCCUCCGGAGCUGGAUGUCGUGGGUUCAAAUCCCGCCGGGCGCG